CCUACGGGAGGCAGCAGUGGGGAAUAUUGGACAAUGGGGGGAACCCUGAUCCAGCGACGCCGCGUGAGUGAAGAAGUAUUUCGGUAUGUAAAGCUCUAUCAGCAGGGAAGAAAAUGACGGUACCUGACAAAGAAGCACCGGCUAACUACGUGCCACAAGCCGAGGUAAUACGUAGGGGGCAGGCGUUAUCCGGAUUGACUGGGUGUAAAGGGAGCGUAGACGGUGAAGCAAGUCUGUUGUGAAAGGUCGGGGCCCAACCCCGGGACUGCGUUGGAAACUGUUGAACUGGAGUACAGGAGAGGUAGGCGGAAUUCCGGGUGUAGCGGUGAAAUGCGUAGAUAUUAGGAGGAACACC
rnacentral:rRNA from 1 species